CCAGUAGUAUAUCCUGUAAAAGAGAAGACGAACAGUGAAGAUGACUAACUCGACCACUUAAGGACAAACAAAGUGAUCACUUUACGGUUUUAAAUGUACUAAACACACAGCUCCUAUCAGCAUGUUAAGGAGGACUGCUCAUGAUGGCAAGUGAGUUUGGGAGGGUAGCGUGGGUUUGAGGGGCUGUAGACAUUACAGAUCUCUAGGAAUGCAGACUGAACGCAUAACUGAGCGCUCAACGGACGAGCAGCUCAAACACCAGAUGAACGUUUAACUGAAAUAACCGUCACGGUAAACUAUGACGCGCAGUCCGCACACGAACAGACGCUGCACGUCUCUGAGUGGACAGUAAUUGAUUUCGCAAUGGACAGCGGUGGUGACGGUAAAUACAGCUGGUGUUUUGAUGAGCGCGCCCAUCCUUGCCCUGCGAGGAAUGCCUGAGGGUCAGUCUUUAGAGAUUCACACCCAGGCGUCACUCCAGACCAACAGGGCGAACGAGUCGAGCAGCGAUUUUUAAAGUCAACACGGUUGGCUUUGGGAAUGUAGAGACGGAGGCACAUCUUCCGUUUGACUUAGAAGAGAGAUUCUACAAUCACAGGCAUUUCUGAAAAUUAAACUUCUUCAGAUUGUUUCACUUUAAAUAGUAAAAUCGCAAUCGAGUUUUGAGUGGAUUUUUGUAUAACGCUUGAGGGUGGACUAUUUUAUUAAUUAUUUUAUUAAUUACACACCCUGAAGGCCUCCUAG